UACUGUCACAGUAUGUGUACUGUUGCUGG
rnacentral:piRNA from 1 species